GUGGGGAAUCUUGCGCAAUGGGCGAAAGCCUGACGCAGCCAUGCCGCGUGAAUGAUGAAGGUCUUAGGAUUGUAAAAUUCUUUCACCGGGGACGAUAAUGACGGUACCCGGAGAAGAAGCUCCGGCUAACUUCGUGCCAGCAGCCGCGGUAAUACGAAGGGGGCUAGCGUUGCUCGGAAUUACUGGGCGUAAAGGGCGCGUAGGCGGACAGCUUAGUCAGAGGUGAAAGCCCAGGGCUCAACCUUGGAAUUGCCUUUGAUACUGGCUGUCUUGAGUUUGGGAGAGGUGAGUGGAACUCCGAGUGUAGAGGUGAAAUUCGUAGAUAUUCGGAAGAACACCAGUGGCGAAGGCGACUCACUGGCCCAAUACUGACGCUGAGGCGCGAAAGCGUGGGGAGCAAACAGGAUAGAUACCCUAGUAGUCC
rnacentral:rRNA from 1 species